GGGUUGUGAGGUUAAGCGACUAAGCGUACACGGUGGAUGCCCUGGCAGUCAGAGGCGAUGAAGGGCGUGCUAAUCUGCGAUAAGCGCCGGUAAGGUGAUAUGAACCGUUAUAACCGGCGAUACCCGAAUGGGGAAACCCAGUGUGAUUCGUCACACUAUCAUUAACUGAAUCCAUAGGUUAAUGAGGCGAACCGGGGGAACUGAAACAUCUAAGUACCCCGAGGAAAAGAAAUCAACCGAGAUUCCCCCAGUAGCGGCGAGCGAACGGGGAGGAGCCCAGAGCCUGAAUCAGCAUGUGUGUUAGUGGAAGCGUCUGGAAAGGCGCGCGAUACAGGGUGACAGCCCCGUACACAAAAGCGCAUGUGCUGUGAGCUCGAUGAGUAGGGCGGGACACGUGGUAUCCUGUCUGAAUAUGGGGGGACCAUCCUCCAAGGCUAAAUACUCCUGACUGACCGAUAGUGAACCAGUACCGUGAGGGAAAGGCGAAAAGAACCCCGGCGAGGGGAGUGAAAAAGAACCUGAAACCGUGUACGUACAAGCAGUGGGAGCACAGGUUUACCUGUGUGACUGCGUACCUUUUGUAUAAUGGGUCAGCGACUUAUAUUCUGUAGCAAGGUUAACCGAAUAGGGGAGCCGGAGGGAAACCGAGUCUUAAUUGGGCGUUAAGUUGCAGGGUAUAGACCCGAAACCCGGUGAUCUAGCCAUGGGCAGGUUGAAGGUUGGGUAACACUAACUGGAGGACCGAACCGACUAAUGUUGAAAAAUUAGCGGAUGACCUGUGGCUGGGGGUGAAAGGCCAAUCAAACCGGGAGAUAGCUGGUUCUCCCCGAAAGCUAUUUAGGUAGCGCCUCGUGAAUUCAUCUCCGGGGGUAGAGCACUGUUUCGGCUAGGGGGCCAUCUUACCAACCCGAUGCAAACUGCGAAUACCGGAGAAUGUUAUCACGGGAGACACACGGCGGGUGCUAACGUCCGUCGUGAAGAGGGAAACAACCCAGACCGCCAGCUAAGGUCCCAAAGUCAUGGUUAAGUGGGAAACGAUGUGGGAAGGCCCAGACAGCCAGGAUGUUGGCUUAGAAGCAGCCAUCAUUUAAAGAAAGCGUAAUAGCUCACUGGUCGAGUCGGCCUGCGCGGAAGAUGUAACGGGGCUAAACCAUGCACCGAAGCUGCGGCAGCGAACGUAUCACUUAAAGCGAUUCAGCGGGUUACGAUUGACGGAGCGAAGCGACGUCAAAGCGUAUACAAAGUCGAGUCGGUUUAAGGAUACGUUCGUUGGGUAGGGGAGCGUUCUGUAAGCCUGCGAAGGUGGCCUGUGAGGGUUGCUGGAGGUAUCAGAAGUGCGAAUGCUGACAUAAGUAACGAUAAAGCGGGUGAAAAGCCCGCUCGCCGGAAGACCAAGGGUUCCUGUCCAACGUUAAUCGGGGCAGGGUGAGUCGACCCCUAAGGCGAGGCCGAAAGGCGUAGUCGAUGGGAAACGGGUUAAUAUUCCCGUACUUGGUGUUACUGCGAAGGGGGGACGGAGAAGGCUAUGUUGGCCGGGCGACGGUUGUCCCGGUUUAAGCGUGUAGGUGUGUGUUCCAGGUAAAUCCGGUUCACUUUAACACUGAGGCGUGACGACGAGGCACUACGGUGCUGAAGCAACAAAUGCCCUGCUUCCAGGAAAAGCCUCUAAGCAUCAGGUAACAUCAAAUCGUACCCCAAACCGACACAGGUGGUCAGGUAGAGAAUACCAAGGCGCUUGAGAGAACUCGGGUGAAGGAACUAGGCAAAAUGGUGCCGUAACUUCGGGAGAAGGCACGCUGACACGUAGGUGAAGUGAUUUACUCACGGAGCUGAAGUCAGUCGAAGAUACCAGCUGGCUGCAACUGUUUAUUAAAAACACAGCACUGUGCAAACACGAAAGUGGACGUAUACGGUGUGACGCCUGCCCGGUGCCGGAAGGUUAAUUGAUGGGGUCAGCGCAAGCGAAGCUCCUGAUCGAAGCCCCGGUAAACGGCGGCCGUAACUAUAACGGUCCUAAGGUAGCGAAAUUCCUUGUCGGGUAAGUUCCGACCUGCACGAAUGGCGUAAUGAUGGCCAGGCUGUCUCCACCCGAGACUCAGUGAAAUUGAACUCGCUGUGAAGAUGCAGUGUACCCGCGGCAAGACGGAAAGACCCCGUGAACCUUUACUAUAGCUUGACACUGAACAUUGAGCCUUGAUGUGUAGGAUAGGUGGGAGGCUUUGAAGUGUGGACGCCAGUCUGCAUGGAGCCGACCUUGAAAUACCACCCUUUAAUGUUUGAUGUUCUAACGUGGACCCGUGAUCCGGGUUGCGGACAGUGUCUGGUGGGUAGUUUGACUGGGGCGGUCUCCUCCUAAAGAGUAACGGAGGAGCACGAAGGUUGGCUAAUCCUGGUCGGACAUCAGGAGGUUAGUGCAAUGGCAUAAGCCAGCUUGACUGCGAGCGUGACGGCGCGAGCAGGUGCGAAAGCAGGUCAUAGUGAUCCGGUGGUUCUGAAUGGAAGGGCCAUCGCUCAACGGAUAAAAGGUACUCCGGGGAUAACAGGCUGAUACCGCCCAAGAGUUCAUAUCGACGGCGGUGUUUGGCACCUCGAUGUCGGCUCAUCACAUCCUGGGGCUGAAGUAGGUCCCAAGGGUAUGGCUGUUCGCCAUUUAAAGUGGUACGCGAGCUGGGUUUAGAACGUCGUGAGACAGUUCGGUCCCUAUCUGCCGUGGGCGCUGGAGAACUGAGGGGGGCUGCUCCUAGUACGAGAGGACCGGAGUGGACGCAUCACUGGUGUUCGGGUUGUCAUGCCAAUGGCACUGCCCGGUAGCUAAAUGCGGAAGAGAUAAGUGCUGAAAGCAUCUAAGCACGAAACUUGCCCCGAGAUGAGUUCUCCCUGAGACUUAGAGUCUCCUGAAGGAACGUUGAAGACGACGACGUUGAUAGGCCGGGUGUGUAAGCGCAGCGAUGCGUUGAGCUAACCGGUACUAAUGAACCGUGAGGCUUAACCUUACAACGCCGAAG
rnacentral:rRNA from 1 species